UAAGACGUGUCCAUCAAAGUUAACCCAUAGUUCUUGUGUGGUUUCCCCAUAGGCAACAAUACUUACGAUAUAAAUAUGGUGAAGGUUCUGUUUAUCGCAAUGGCGCUGGUGGCUGUAGCGUUAGCCGCUCCAGGUCACGAUAACCACGACAGUCACGGGCCCCUUGGAAAAGUUUAUCACAACAGCCACGAACACGGUGGUGCCGGCCACGGGCCAAUAGGAAAAGCCCAUGACAGCCCUGUAGAAAAAAUUGUCAAACACGGUAUUGAACACAGACUAGAGAGCAGUCACGGACACGGGGGUCACGGUAGCGGACCUGCAGGAAAAGUUCUGGAACAUGUCCAUAAACACUGAUACUGAAGAAUCGCGAUAACCGACUGACUGUAUAACAAUGAUAUAAGUUUGUAAUAUGGAAAAUACAUAAGUUAUUAAUUUUGUAAGAAAUAAAUAUAC